GUCUCCGCGAUCUCAGUUCGUCCUCUCUUUCUGCUGGGAACCUGAGUCUGUGCGGAAGCCCAUGUCCGCCUUGGGGCCUCCACUCUUUGGGCUCCGCGCCUGGGGCCCUGGAGGGCUCCGUCCUUUGCCCUUGUUCCUCCGCUGCCCUCACGCCCAAUUGGCGCGGCCACGAGCUUUCCUGCACGCCAUUUGCUCAGUCGCAUUUUGUGCAACAGAGCCUAUGGGCUGAAGAUGAGUGGCGGUUGUCAUAAUGAAUGUUUUCCAAAAACUUAACUGCAGAGGAUGACUAAUCCCCUAGGAUAUACAGCUGCAUGUAACAAGCAUAUAGGUAGCUGCAGAUGAAUGAAUGUUCAAGUUCUUAGCUGUGGUAUAUAAGAAUUCUUCAUUGCCUCAAAUGAAAAAGUCCUCAAAGGGAAACAUUUUGCUGAUGUGGAAGAGGUGAAACAAAAAAACAGCAGAAGCACUAAGAGGCACCAAAAUCGAUGAGUUUAAAAACCGUUUUGAGCAGUGGAAAAAAACGUUUCAGUAGGUGUAUUGCAUCAAACAGAGAGUACUUUGAAAGUGACUGAAGUUUAAACAUGUAAAAAUAAAUACACAAUUGUUUAUAAAUUCCGUUUUGGGGGGUAUACCUUUGUAAUGUAUAUUUCAUCACAAUCAAAACUUUUGACUAUUACUGUAGGAGUAAAGCUCUU